CCAGACUCCUACGGGAGGCAGCAGUGAGGAAUAUUGGUCAAUGGGCGAUAGCCUGAACCAGCCAAGUCGCGUGAGGGAAGACGGCCCUAUGGGUUGUAAACCUCUUUUGUCGGGGAGCGAGGCCGCUACGUGUAGUGAUUUGAGAGUACCCGAAGAAAAAGCAUCGGCUAACUCCGUGCCAGCAGCCGCGGUAAUACGGAGGAUGCGAGCGUUAUCCGGAUUUAUUGGGUUUAAAGGGUGCGCAGGCGGAUUUUUAAGUCAGCGGUCAAAUCGUGGGGCUCAACCCCAUCCAGCCGUUGAAACUGGGGAUCUAGAGUGUGCGAGAGGUAUGCGGAAUGCGUGGUGUAGCGGUGAAAUGCAUAGAUAUCACGCAGAACCCCGAUUGCGAAGGCAGCAUACCGGUGCACAACUGACGCUCAGGCACGAAAGCGUGGGUAUCGAACAGGAUUAGAUACCCCAGUA
rnacentral:rRNA from 1 species